rnacentral:lncRNA from 1 species
AGGGGGAAGAAACAACAAAUAUAAAGCACAUAAAUGUAUCACGAUACAUGAGAUCGCAAUGUGCAUGGCUAUGCAUGAGCUAACGCAGUAUCACCCGUCAUGGACGGAUCGAGAAAAUAUCUCAUGAUAUUUCCCGGGAAUCUAACUAUUACACGACAAGCGAAACGGAUGAAAAAGUCCCAUGUUCGUUAUGACAAAGACACGUGACAUACGAACGGAUAGCGUAUCCUCGUUCGUCUAGUUUUUUAAUCAAUUUUUAUGUAUAAAUUAUUUUCAUCCGGAUUACAAUUUAUUUUAUAUUAAUUUUUAAAGUUUUAUUAAUAUUUAGGAAUUAAAUAUAUUUAUUUUAAUUCAAUUAGUUUAAUAAUGACAUCAACAUGAUGUCUUGGUGACAAUAACACUCAAUAGUGGGUUGACUGGUCGAAACGACGAGUGGGGCCUACGUGUCAUUAAC